ensembl:lncRNA
CUGGGAAGAAACACUUGGUGCUGUGCAGGAAGGCAGCAGGACGGCCCUGCUGUAUCUGCAGCACCUGUGGAAAUGCUGAGAGUUCUGUUCAUGCAAAGAAGAUACCGACAGCCUCUUUCCAAACCCAUGGCUUUGCACAACCUUUGGUUUGCAGCAAUGCUCUGUCUGGGAUGGUUUUCUUCUCCACUAUGGAAAGGUGAUACAAGUUUUGCAAUCCAGCAAAGCUCGGGGCUGAAGGCAACAAGCCAAGAACUGUGUAAAUCAAAGGGAGUUCCCCUUUGUAUUCAAGGAGGCCAAGAUCUCACCCCAAAAAGUCUUGCAGAUACAAAGGUUCGUGGGUUUUCCUUUUGAAUCCCAGGAGAUUUGUAGGUUAUCUCAGGCUGAAAACAGGUUCUGCCCUCUGCAACCCAUCCUCUGUGUUCAGGAUAGUGCUGUGUGGAUGGGGUGGGAAGAAGGCUCUGCUCUGCCCCCUGUGCUCUCCAAGGCAGAAACACAGCGCGUGGUCUGCAGCAAGAGGAUGGCUGCUCUCCUGGGUCCUCCUCUGUUCAGGUUAUUGCCAUCAAAGGAAUGGAGUAAUUAUGCCCUGGGAAUCCAGGAAAGGAGGAAUCCAGCACUGAGUGCCUCUGUAAGGCAAGGCAAAGAGCCAGAGCAAGGUGUUGAACGGCAAGCAGGUCAUUGGGAUAUGCCUCCAUCACUUCCCUUCUAUGGUCUGUUGUCAGAGGAUUCAUUUCUUCUUCAAUAGAAGAGAGAGGAAGAAAUGUCACUCCAGCAAUUCAAUUCUCUGCUGUGGGUGAAAGGAAGAGAAGGAAAAGAAAAGACAUGUCUUGGAAAUCUCCUAUUUUACUGGUACCUGUAACCACCCAUUGCAGAAUUCUUGGGUUUUUCUUUCUAGCUAGGCAUUUUCCUUGGUUUAUAAAUACGUCAUAUAAAAGUGCAAGAUCAUAAAGUUUACAAGUUAUGCAAGGGCUGACUUACUGUAUAAUUACCUUUCUUCGCUCUCGGGCAUUUCUGUCUUCAACUGUUACUCUGCAAGAUCCAGCGGGCAGCAGAACCAACCAGGAAAAUAAAAAUAAAAGCUAGAAAAAGGAGGUAGCCUGGUAUUCGGUGGCUCAGAUCCGACAUAAACACUGCCGGGAUAAGCAGACGUGCUGGAACGCUGCGGGAUUUGGGGUCAGGGUGAAAAUCCCCUGGUUUUCACAUUCUUACACCCCAAACCACAAAAGUGCAAGUUUCUCAUCUUCAGCUUGAAACCUCAGAGCUCUGGUAGCCAAAAAUGGGACAAUUGACAAAUAGGAACUCCAACCAAGAAGCGCUGCAGAGAGAUUGGCCAGGAAAGGAAAAGUGAAACAUUUCCAAAUACAGAAAGCUUUGCUGCUGAAGACAAGGAUAAUAUUUGCUAUGCUAUCCUAACCAAAUAUGCCACUCAGCACUCUCUCCUUUAUCACAGUUAUUUUAGUGGUGUUGAGUGGGGUCAAGACUAAGUCAAAAAUCUGCAAUUUUUCCUUCCAGACAAAGCUGUUUUCCCAAUGAAAAUAGAGACUUCACUAAAUGUGUC